ACCAAGGAGUCUAACAUGUGCGCGAGCCGCGGGGCAGUACGAAACCCGUAAGGCGAAAUGAAGGUGAACGCCGGCGCGGUCCGGCGGAGGUUGGAUCCCGUCCCGUCGGGGCGGGCGCACUACCGGCCGAUCUUCUCCGCCCUGUCGGCGAGGUCGAGCGAGAGCGUGCAAGUCGGGACCCGAAAGAUGGUGAACUAUGCCUGAGGAGGUUGAAGCCAGAGGAAACUCUGGUGGAGGACCGUAGCGAUUCUGACGUGCAAAUCGAUCGUCAAAUUUGGGUAUAGGGGCGAAAGACUAAUCGAACCGUCUAGUAGCUGGUUCCCUUCGAAGUUUCCCUCAGGAUAGCUGGCGCUCUGUCGCAGUUUUAUCUGGUAAAGCGAAUGAUUAGAGGUCUUGGGGGCGAAACGCCCUCAACCUAUUCUCAAACUUUAAAUUGGUAAGAAGCCCGACUCGCUCGUUUGGAGCCGGGCAUGGAAUGCGAGUGCCAAGUGGGCCACUCUUGGUAAGCAGGACUGGCGAUGCGGGAUGAACCGAACGCCGGGUUAAGGCGCCCGACGCGACGCUCAUCAGAGCCCACAAAAGGUGUUGGUUGAUAUAGACAGCAGGACGGUGGCCAUGGAAGUCGGAAACCGCUAAGGAGUGUGUAACAACUCACCUGCCGAAUCAAUCAGCCUGAAAAGGA
rnacentral:ncRNA from 1 species